rnacentral:rRNA from 1 species
UACGUAGGGUGCAAGCGUUGUCCGGAAUUAUUGGGCGUAAAGAGCUCGUAGGCGGCUUGUCGCGUCGGCUGUGAAAACCCGGGGCUCAACCCCGGGCCUGCAGUCGAUACGGGCAGGCUAGAGUCCGGUAGGGGAGACUGGAAUUCCUGGUGUAGCGGUGAAAUGCGCAGAUAUCAGGAGGAACACCGGUGGCGAAGGCGGGUCUCUGGGCCGGAACUGACGCUAAGGAGCGAAAGCGUGGGUAGCAAACAGG